GGAAAGAAAAGGAAAAACAAAAAAAGAAAAGAAAAAGCAAAAGAAACCAAGCAUGUUUCUAUCUCCCUUCAGGAAGUUUAUCUGUAUAUGGUCUCCUCUUUGGAUCGGGGGAGGGAGACAGAAAAGAAAAGUUAUCAGCCUCAUUCAAAUGUGCUGGUCCUGGGAGCUCAGGAAUACUGCUUUGAGGGCUCAUUGGCCAGUUUCCACGCUGUUUCCAAGCAACGUGACAUGCAAUCCAUCCAUCGGAACCUUAUCACGGAGUCAGUGAGCCGGAAGGCGCUGAAGAGCUCUCUGCCCAGACUCCCUACACUAAAGCCCCUGGGGAGGCUCAGGCAGAAUGAAAAAGAAGGCAACAGUGACCCCAAGAAGAUGAGAACGAGACCAGGACUGGUGGUGUAGGCCUGGGAUCCCGGAUACGGAUACUCAGGAGACUGUGGCAGAAGGAUCAAAAGAUCAAGGAUGCAAAGUGGUCCUUCCUCUCUGUCUAUCUCCGAGGCCACUUCCUGGUUUGCUCGAAGCCACUGCAGCUCAGGGCCUGCAUGCUGGAUGUGGACAUCUGGACAAACUGAGCAGUCUGAACGGAGUCCUGGCAGUGGCUGCUUAAAGAGACCCAGGGCUGUAAUAACGGCAGCAAUCGGAGGUUCUGGCUAGAGUCAGCCGUGAAAUCAGAGUUGCAAUGUUCCAAGCCUGCUUCUCAGGGAGACCUUAGACAGAAAGGCCGGAACUAAAAGUCAGAUUGUAACACACACCAACCAAGGACGACUAUUUCUGCAGAUAGACCACACUGCAGCAAACUGCGCACAUAGAUUCUCGCAGUGGCACAGAGGCGCUAAGAAAGAAAUGGCCAUUGUCGUGCUUCUCGUGUGCAGCAUUUAGCUUUUUAAAAUUGGAAACAAAAAAGUGAAUUCAAAAAGCUGAGCAAAGCAACAGUAAACUCCUUCUGGGUUCUUCCCCAAGAAGGUACCUGACCUAGGUGUGUAUGACUCCCCAAAAAACCACUGAGCCUGGCCGAGCAUGGGCACCACAGCUGGGCAGCAGGAGACUCCCAGGGGGCAGCCCACCCCCUCUCUUCACACCACAGGACUUACCGGCCAAGGGCCAAUGAUCCCCAGGCAUGAAACCAAAUGAACAAAGAGGUUACACAACUCAGUAAUCACACAAGAGCCAAAACAGGCCCUGACAUCAUAAGCCCACCAACGUCUCCCCAGUCUUUCGUGUGAGCUCACAUUAUAAAUAAACAACCAUGAUUAAUCAGAUUAUAAAUAUAUAACAAUAAACGGUAUAAACAUAAUGACAAACUUCAUAGAGUACACUUGAGUCCAUAAAGUUAGUUUUCCCGCCAACAGCAAAAGGGGCAAGGGCACUCAGGGGGACCUGUUAACUCUUUCCUACCUCCUGGAACCCAUUGAGAGUCGCACCAGAUUAACACGCCCUGUCACAAUGGCCCUGCAAGGACGGCUUGGUGGAGUAGAAACAUUGGUGAAUGCAGGAUGGGCUAUAGACUGGGAAGAAGGGCAAAGAUGGGAUGGCAGAAUGAAAAGGGGAAAGAGGGAAGAAAUGGGACACUUAGUUGCUGAUAUGGAUAGAAGCAAGGUUUCCUCUUUGGCCCAAAUCUAAGUUGGAGGACUUCCAGAGUCCUGAAAACUGUGAUAUGGGUUUAAAGACACACAAAAAGUCCUAUGAGCUUUCUAAAGUUUUCCAAAAGUUCCAACAUAGCAAACAACAGGGUGGGAAUGGAGGGUAGUGUACUGAUAAUUUCUUCAGUUCAGAUUUUACUAGCAAUAGCCAACAGUUCUGAGAUCUGAAUCGCAAGGCACUAGGCACAGGGGUUGACAGCCAUUCGUGAAUUCCUUCACCGUGGCCCCAAGAGGGCGUGUUGUCAAUCCUGCCACACGGGUGGAAAUACCAAGGCCACAGAGCCAAGUGAUGGCAGAGCCGCAACUCCAAAACCCACACUCUAAGUUUAUAUCCACUCUGAAAGGAUGCGCUCGGCUCCAGUGUCCCAGAGGAAGCCUCCCCGUAAGGGUCAGGAAAAAGAAGCUGGACGGGCAGUAACGGUGAAGGAAGGCCCCUGGCAGAGGGAGACCUGGUCAGCUCAGCAAGGUAGAAAUGACCCUUGCUGAAUACACAAGGGGAACUCAGCCCUUGGUGGUGACACCAGGAGGUCCAAGCCGCCAGGAACAAGGAAUUGCUGCCAGAAACAAGCUGAGCUACCCACUAGCUCCUACCAAGUUGCCACACGGUCCCUUGGAAGACCCGAGUUUCCAGAAGGCAAACACGGAUCGAUCGCAGGACGCUGAUGACGUCUUGCUCAGGAGGAGAAGCCAAACACGGGGAGCACACAGUGACUCUGUGUGGCAAAUCCGUAGAUAGGCACACAUACACAGACCCGCGACUGCCAUGGGUGGGGCAGGCUGUCUGCUGAGGAUGAGAACAAACCACCUGGGUAUGGCACUUCCUUUGGAAUGGUAUGUGUCUACGUCCAAACUCUUCAAAAAGGCAUAUAUUAAAAUGUAUGCCACUUUCGCAUGUCAGUUAUAGCUUAAGAAAGGUGCCUGCAGCAAACCGUACAACACUUUGAAUGCCUUUACUGCCGCCGAACUAUACUGCAAAAUGAUUAAAAUGGUCGAUUUGGUAUUAUAUGCAUUUUACCACCAGGAUAAAGGAAGUAACUCUC